GGUUAAUGCUAGCGGUGCGCCUAACACAUGCAAGUCGAGGGGUAUAGGCUUUCGGGCCUAGAGACCGGCGCACGGGUGCGUAACGCGUAUGCAAUCUACCUUGUACAGGGGGAUAGCCCAGAGAAAUUUGGAUUAAUACCCCAUGGUAUUUUAGGGUGGCAUCACCUUAUUAUUAAAGUUCCAACGGUACAAGAUGAGCAUGCGUCCCAUUAGCUAGUUGGUAUGGUAACGGCAUACCAAGGCAAUGAUGGGUAGGGGUCCUGAGAGGGAGAUCCCCCACACUGGUACUGAGACACGGACCAGACUCCUACGGGAGGCAGCAGUGAGGAAUAUUGGUCAAUGGGCGCAAGCCUGAACCAGCCAUGCCGCGUGCAGGAUGACGCAUCUAUGGUGUGUAAACUGCUUUUGUACGGGAAGAAACCACUCUACGUGUAGAGUAUUGACGGUACCGUAAGAAUAAGGAUCGGCUAACUCCGUGCCAGCAGCCGCGGUAA
rnacentral:rRNA from 1 species